rnacentral:lncRNA from 1 species
AAUUUACUUUAACCCACUGAUUUUAUCUGGGUUAGUUUAUUGUUAAUGUAUUUUGGCUAUAUGCUUUUUAUUUUUUAUUGUUAAACUAUUGUUUAUUAUAUGUAUAUGUUCUUAUAUAUACAUAUAACAUUGUACUUUAUUUUUUUAAACUUUUUUUUUUAUCAAUCUUUUGUUCACACAUAUAUACAUAUAUGUAUAUGUAUAUAUAUACAACAGUGUACUAUAUUUUUUUAACCUUUUUUUUUUUUUUUUUUUUUUUUUUUUUUUUUUUNNNNNNNNNNNNNNNNNNNNNNNNNNNNNNNNNNNNNNNNNNNNNNNNNNNNNNNNNNNNNNNNNNNNNNNNNNNNNNNNNNNNNNNNNNNNNNNNNNNNCAUUGUACUUUAUUUUUUUAAACUUUUUUUUUUAUCAAUCUUUUGUUCACACAUAUAUACAUAUAUGUAUAUGUAUAUAUAUACAACAGUGUACUAUAUUUUUUUAACCUUUUUUUUUUUUUUUUUUUUUUUUUUUUUUUUUUUUUUUUUUUUUUUUGUCAAUUUUUUGUUCAUAUAUAUGUAUGCACAUGUAUAUAUGAUACUACACUGUAUUUUAUUUUACUUUACUUUUUGUUGUUCCACUUUGUUGAAAAAAUUGUGUAUUACUUUUAUUUUUUAAAUAUUUUUGUUUUAUAUGAACAUUUUUGUUAAUCAAAAAAAAAAAAAAAAACAAAAAAAAAAAAAAAACCAUACAAAUAAUCAAAAACAAUGCUAUUUAAUUUAAAUAAGCUAAUUUCCCAAAUGGAAGAAGUUGGAAGUAAAGCUUUAAACAUUAACUCAACAAAAAAUAGUGGUUCUGCAAAUAAUAACAUUUCUUCAACCCAUACUAAUAAUAAAACUAUUAUACAUACUGCGACAUCUGUCCCUUCUCCUACUACUGUUGUUUCUAGUACAAAUGUUAGUACCAGUUAUGUUAACAAAAAAGACAUGAAAGGAGUUUUAAAUGAUGAAGUUGUGACGGAUACAAAAACUGAUACAUGCAAUAUUAAAAUGGAGACAAAUAAAUAUAGUAAGAAUAACAAUUCAAAUUUGUUGAAUGAAAAUAAAAAUACGACUAACACUACUAGUGGUAAUCAAAAAAAGAAUAAUGGUGAUAGUGAGGUCUCCAAUAUGUCAUUUAAUGAUCGUUUAGAUAUUUCAGAAAAAGAAAUAAAUAUUAUUUCAAAUGACAAUACCGAUGAUGUAAUAAAUGGAAAAAAAAAUAAAAAUGUGUUAUUGUCUAAAGAUUGUGAUAAUAAUCAAAGUCUUAAAGUAGAAGAAGAAAAUAAAAAUAAUAUGGACUAUUAUAAAAAUGAUAAUUUAUUUAACGAUCAAUCAAGUCCUUAUUCAACUGAUGUAUGUCAAAAAUAUUAUCAGUUGUAUAAUAAAGAAAUAAUGAGAAGCGAAAGUGAGUUACUAGAAGAAGAUAUUUCAGAAACUGAUGAGCAAGAUAGUAUUGAACAAACUAGAAGUGAACGAGAGCAAGAACAGGCAGAUUUGUUUAAAGGGAAUAAAGAUGUAACAUUCUUAGAGAAUUAUAAUAAAACCAAUACUGACUGUGUACAAGCAAAAAUCUACGAUGUGAAGGAUCUAAUUUUAGCAAAAAAAGGAAUAGAGCAAAAUAUUAAUAAUAGUAAUGGUAGUAAUAGUAAUGGUAGUAAUAGUAGUGGAGAGCAAAUCGAACAACAUUAUGAAACAGAAGCUAACACAAAGGAUGAUGUUUAUGGAAGUAAACCAAAAUAUGAGAAUGAAAAUGUACAUAAAAUGUCAGCCUGCGAGAGUGAUAUGCAAAAAAAUGAUAAAAAGGAAGUAAAAGCAACACUCAGUAAUAAAGUGUUAGAUGACCUAAAAUAUAGUAAUACUAAAAAAAAGCAAACGUCCAUCUUUACUUCUAAUGAAGAUGUAAUAGAUAUAUCAUCUAUAUCUGAAGAAACGAAAAAAAUUGUAUACUCCGAAUUAAAUUGUGGUUUAAAUAAUAUAGGUUCUAAAAUAUGUACAGAUUCCAUACAACCAGAUUUGCAAAAAGAUAAUAGUAAUAAAGAUUUUGAUGAUUAUAUGAGUACAUCUAGUAAAUGCAAAUAUAACACAGAUGUAUACAAUACAAACAUUGACAAUGCAGAAAAAGAAAGUAGUGACAAUGAUUCUGUGGAUAAUAAUAGUAAACAUAGUUCGGAUGAAAUUGAUAAAAUUUUUAAUAAGUACAAAAUAGAUGUUUCCAAUGUAGCUAAAUAUUAUGAUUUUAAAACAAAUGAAAAUAAAACUGGUAAUAAUAUCGAUGAAGAGAAGAGUGCUAACUUAGAGAAGAAUAUGAGUAGCGUAGGGGGAGAUAGUAAUAAAAUUGGUUCUAAUAGGACAUGUUCUAAUGAGACAAGUUCUAAUGAGACAAGUUCUAAUGAGAUAGGUUCUAAUGAGAUAGGCUCUAAUAAAAUAGGUUCUAACAUAACCAGAUCCAACGAAAAAGACAGCAAGGACAGUAACGAUAAUAAGUUAGAGCAAAACAAUAUAGUCAAAGAUGAAAAAGAAAGUUACAAUAUAAAUGUCGAGUGUUCCAGUAACAAUAUUGAACAAAACCAUUCGGAUAAGAGAAAAAUAUUGUUUGAACAAAACAAAAACAAUCACAAAACAAGUGAUUAUUUAAACAGAAAUAAAAAAGAUACUUUGGAAAAAAAAAAAUGUGAAGAAGGGUUGUCAUUGUCAGAAAAUUUGUCGGAUAAUACUGUUAGUGAAGAGUAUACAGAUGAUAGUGAAUUGUUAAACUUAGAAGGUGAUGAUAAUGAUUAUAUAACAGAAAAUGUUUUAAAAGUUAUAUUAAAUAUAAAAGAAGAAAAAAUAAGUUUAGAGCAUUUUAAAAAUUAUUUUACUAACUUAAAUUACGAUGUUCAGAUUGAAAAUAUACAAUUGUUAUUUGAUUGUAUUUAUAAAUAUAGUUUGAAUCAGGUUGAUAAAAAGAGUGACAAAUAUGCAGAUGUAUCAGAUGUAAAUGUAAAAGAAACGGGUGAAGACGAAGUAUACAUAACUGUUAACGACAUUCAGAAUUAUAUAAUCAGUAGGAAUGUUAAAAAUAGUAAUUACUUUAAUAAAGUUAUUAAAAUGAUUGUACACUUUAAUAAUAUUAUUUUAAUUAUGUUAAAUAGUAAUAAAACUGAAACAAUAGAUAAAAUAUUAUUUGAAUUACUAUCAAUAAAAUUUGCAUCUGUAUUUAAUGACAUAUUAAAAUUACCCAAUGAUAUAGAUAACUUAAUAAAGCACUUAAACGAAAUUAUACAGUUAAUUUUAUCUGAUGAAUCGAAAGACCAUAAUUUAAAAAAAAUAAUAUGUAAAUAUCUGAACAGUCAGGGUAUAUUAAUAAAUAAACAUGACAUUUUAACACAGUUAAAUGGAAUAAAACCUACAAAAUGGGAAGGUCUAAAAAUGGAUCGUGUCGAAGAACAAAUUAGUCAGUCUAGUGAUGAAACUAAGCAAAAUAGUAGCUUUUCUGUAAAUGAUGUUGCAACCUCUCAAACGGACUAUAGUGCAAAUCAAUCAAAAAAACAGAUAACUUCAAAAAAUAUUAUCACUCGUAAUAAUAAAGUAACUGAAAAUAGUAGUGGAAGCUGUAGCAGUAGUACAGGUAGCUAUAGUAAUGGUACUAUUAAAACGGAUACUAUUAAAAUGGGAUCUAUUAAAACGGGAUCUAUUAAAACGGGAUCUAUUAAAACGGGACCUAUUAAAACGGGAUCUAUUAAAACGGGAUCUAUUAAAACGGGAUCUAUUAAAACAGGUAAUAUUAAAAAGGCAAAAAAGAGAUUAACGAGUAGUGUUAAUAAGGACUCUGAGAACAACACACGCCUUUUGACUAACAAAAUGAUGGGAGUACUACAAGAUGAAAAAGAAAACACUGUAAGUGAAACUACAAAAAAAAGUUUAACAGGUAUUAAAAAAAAAAAAAAAAAUAUAAUAGUAAAUGAUAAUCAAACGUUAAACGAUUUUGUUGUUUCAAGAGGUGUAGAAAAUCAAAACCAAGCUGCUAACAACAGUAGUACUGCUAGUGUCAAAGGUAGUAGUAACAAAAGUAUUCAGAGUAGUAGUAACGAUAGUAUAAGUAGUGGUAUAAGUAGUGGUAUAGGUAGUAGUAUAAGUAGUGGUAUAGGUAGUGGUAUAAGUAGUGGUAUAGGUAGUGGCGUAAGAGGUAACAUACAAAAUGGGUGUAAUAAAGGUAGUGUUAAAACUAGUAGUAACGAAAGCAUAAAAAGUAGUAUCAAAUCAAGAAGGAAAUGCAGUAUCAGUGGUAGUGAUAUUCUUAAAGAUAGCGUGAGAAGUGGCACCAGUAACCGAACCAUAAAGGAGAAAAUGAAGGAAAAAGAAAACAAGACUAAUAGCCACAAUUUAAAAAGUAAGAAUAACAUGAUAAGUAGCAACAAAAAUAAUGAUAAACAAGAGAUAGAAAAAAAUGUUAACAAUACUAGUACUAAUUUAAACAAACAAGUUGAAAAAAUGAAAGAAGACUCAAAAAAGAGAAAUGUAUUAAAAGAAGAACCAAAUACAACUGCAGAAAAAGAAACUGAUGAAGUAAAAAAAGGAAAAAAAAAUGUACAAGUAGCAACUAAUGAUGAUAAAAAAUUGGACAAGCAUUUUACAAGUGAAGGUAAUGUAGAAAUGUUAGAAAGCACUAAAAAUAAAGUUAAUCAAGUUGAAAAGGAAAUUGCGGAUGUACACACAAAUGUGGGGAUGAGUGUAAAUUUAAAUAAUAAACACAAUGUAAAUAGUGUACAAAAUAAUUAUAAUUACAUAAAAAGUAAUAGUAAUUACCCCAAUAUGCGAAUGUACAGUUUGGUAAACAAUACCAAUGCAAUGACUGUAGCAGCAGGAGGUGUCCUUAAUAGUGCCAAUAGCGUACUUGCAAGCGAGCCAUAUAGACACUCUUUCAGUACAAAUCACAAAAAUAUUGUCCAGACAAAACAUACUAAGAUUUACCCACCAAACCCUAUGGUAUACAAAAAAGGGUUUCCUAUGGUAUUAUCUAAUACUAACAAUUUAAAAAAAAACAGUCUAAGUAGUAUGGGUACGUAUGGUAAUAAGACUCAGCAAAAAGUAUUUGGUGCAAAUGUAUCUACUCAUAGUAGUACUCAUAGUGGUAUUCAUAGUAGUACUCACAAUUAUACAUACCAUCACCAUAAUAGUAACCUUGUCAGUAGAAAUAUACACAGUAAUGAUAAAUACACCGUUAACGACGUAUAUAAGUCUAAUGAUGCAAUAAAAAAACAAAAUUGUAACGAUAGUAAUAAUAUAAAUAAUAUAGUAGAACAUAGUUAUUUAUGGAAUGGUUCAAAUAGUGUAAAUAUAAAUAAACAACAUACAGACACAAUGGAUUGUAAAUAUAUUAUUAAUAAUAAAACAAAAAACAUACACGUCAAUUCAAAUAGUGAUAACAGAGUUGGUAGUAAUGGUAAAAAUAAUAAUAAUAGUAGUAGUAAUGAUCAUAAUAUAAUAACACAGAGUGAGAAUUUGAUGAACUCUGAUAAAUUUGUUGUUUAUGUACCAGACUCCACAAAAGUAGCAGGUAUACAGAAUUCGUAUACUACUAAAAUAAAAAGUAAUAAUUUGAGUCCGCAAAUCAUACAAAAUUAUAGAAACCAAAUAGAAAGUACAAAAGACAAAAGUUCAUUAUCUAAUCAACAUAAAAUGUUAAACAUAAAUUCAAACAAAUCGAAUAUAACAGGAAAUACAAAAGUAGUGGUAUCUGAAAAUACUAAUGAUCAUAAACAUAUAUUUACGAAGAAUGUACCAAUGUAUAAUAAUACCCAGAAAGAUGUCACAAAACAGAACAUUCAAAUGGGUGACGUUAGCAAUAACACCAACAUGAGUAAAAACAAAAACAUAUGUACAAAAACUAACAUGAAUACAAAAACUAAUAUGAGUACAAAAACUGACACAAGCACAAACACGAACACAAACAAGAACACAGAACAUUACACAUUAAAAAGUAAUGAUAUGAUGAAUAAUGUAUAUAAAAUGAAAAAGAUACAACAACCUUAUUUGAAUCAUGAUAAAAAAGUACUUAUGUUUGAAAAUGGAAUGCAUAAGAAUGGUUACAACAAAAUGGUAAGUAGUAGUGGUGCAAUAAAUAUGGCACUCAGCAAUGAUAUAACAAAUGUAGCAACCAACAACAACAAUAUGUUUUUCAGUUUCAAACGAAAAAUUAAUAAUACAAGCGAUAAGACUAAUACAUUGAUGCAAAGAGGAAAGGAACCACGUGCACACACAAGUACAAGUACGAAUCUAUUUGUAAGUCCUACUAACGAUUUAACUAAUAAAAAUGUAAACAAGAAAGGAGAAGUUAAUUAUAACGGUACUGUAAAAAUUUCACUAGCUAAUUUUGAAAGUAAUUUAAUAAAACCAACCAACUUAAAAACGGUGAUAAGUAGUAAUAGAAUAGGUUAUGAUGACAACAGCCACAGCAAGACAGAUACAGCUAAUAACGUGUUAAACGUAGAAGUACAAAAUGAAAAAAAAAAAAAUGCUUACAGUCGCUUUACCGAAAUGAUUACAAACAAAAUAAAAAACUUUACUUUACGAACUAACAAAUUAGAGGUGUAUAAUGAACCUAAAAAAAAUAGUCCAUUGUCUAGCAUUAAUAAUAAUAAUAACGAAACAAUUGAUCAUAAUAGAAAUAUUAGAAGUGACAAUAGUUCCGAAAUGUGUAAGAACAAUGGUGGUAAUAAUAAUAAUAAUAAUAAUAGUAGUAGUAAUAGUAAUGAUAAUAAGAGUAACAGUGGUCCGAUCCAAGCAAACGUUAACAAAAACGUAAACAAUAACGUAAGUAACAGUAACCGUGUUAGUUACAAUUUUGCUGGUUGCAAUAAUAAAGAUAAAACUGCCACUUCCUUUAUGAAUCCAGCAAAUGUGAUACAAAAUAAUCAUACCGCAGUAACAGGUGGUACAAUUACAAAUGCAAACAGAGUAGUAGACAAUGCGUUAAAAGAAAAAAAAGGACAAGUACAAUCACAGAUGCAAGUUCACAUUAAGAACAACACGGAAUCAAAUGCUACGAUAAUAACAAAUAAAAGUAACACGAACAAUAAUAAAGAAACGAAUACAAAACCAAUAGUCGAAACUAAUUUUAAAAAUACAGCGAACCAUUUAUACACUGUAAAAAACAAGACAAUAGGAGUUGAUGACACGAACAAAUUGAGCAACAUAUAUAAUAAUAAUAAUAAUAAUAAUAAUAAUACUUUGCGCACAUAUAAUAAUGCUUACAAUGACAAACAAGACGUAAAGAAUGACAGAAAAGAUAGCUAUCCAAUAGUAAAUACACUUGGUCGUGCACAACAAAAUAUAACAAAAAGCAUGAACAGCACAAAUACACAAUAUGUGACUUGUAAAAAAAUGAAUGUACCUUACUAUUCCCACUUUCAAAAACGUAAUAGUAAUUAUUUAAAUGAAUCCAGUUCAUAUACAAAACGUAAUGAUAAAAAGAGUGCACAAUUAAAAAUCAACGAACAAAAUAAUGAAACAAAUCUGAACAUUUUAAAAACUAAUAAAAUGUAUUUUCCGAAUGACUCCAUCACGAAUCAACAGCCUGUCUUUAUGAAUAAGCAAAAUAAAAAUUUUGUUGAAAACUCUGCUAAUACUAAAAUAGGCAUAAAUAAUUAUAUUAGUGGUGAUCUUGUCGGUACAAGUCAUGUUGGAGCUUAUGCUGUCCCUGCAAAUGUGGCUAAUACAAAUGUAGCUAAUACAAAU